rnacentral:rRNA from 1 species
GAUGAACGCUGGCGGCGUGCCUAAUACAUGCAAGUCGAGCGAACGGACGAGAAGCUUGCUUCUCUGAUGUUAGCGGCGGACGGGUGAGUAACACGUGGGUAACCUACCUAUAAGACUGGGAUAACUUCGGGAAACCGGAGCUAAUACCGGAUGAUAUUUUGAACCGCAUGGUUCAAAAGUGAAAGACGGUCUUGCUGUCACUUAUAGAUGGAUCCGCGCUGCAUUAGCUAGUUGGUAAGGUAACGGCUUACCAAGGCAACGAUGCAUAGCCGACCUGAGAGGGUGAUCGGCCACACUGGAACUGAGACACGGUCCAGACUCCUACGGGAGGCAGCAGUAGGGAAUCUUCCGCAAUGGGCGAAAGCCUGACGGAGCAACGCCGCGUGAGUGGUGAAGGUCUUCGGAUCGUAAAACUCUGUUAUUAGGGAAGAACAUAUGUGUAAGUAACUGUGCACAUCUUGACGGUACCUAAUCAGAAAGCCACGGCUAACUACGUG